CCGUGUGUAGAGGAUGUCCAGCAUUGUCCAUAAUGUCCAGCAGUUUCUUUAAUGUCCUUUUCUCUGCCACUGUCACCAGAGUGUCCAGCUUCAUGCCGACCACAGAGCCCGCCUUCCUGAUUAGUUUCUGGGCCAGGCCUGGCGUAGAUGGCACUGUUUAUGUGAUGGCAUGCCACAGCUGGCCCAUUGUGGUUUGGUUUAUGUGGCCCAGGCUCAUAGAAAACAGUGUGAAUGUGAGUGUACACUUUAUCCAAAACCUAGUGAGGGUUUAGUCACGUUUACCACUGGGUGGCUGUAGCUCAGGUCGUCCAGCAGGUCAACUGUUGAUCGGAAGGUUAGUGGUUUGAUCCCUGGCUCCUCCAGUUUUCAUGUCAAGCAUGUGAAUGUGUACGCAUGUAGUUAGGAAGCACUCAUGUAACCCAUAUUUAAGGAUGGCUUGGAUAAAAUAUACCAAAAUGAAAAAAGGACCAUUAAUCCUAGCAGUACACUCUGUUUAUAGUGAAUAAGCCAUAGGUGCAGCAGUUAAAGAGUUAACUGCUCUGGUGUAGGCGUGUGUUGCUCUAAGCCAAUGAGCUGCUGAAAUGUGGUGCAGGGUCCCGCCUGCCAUCUCCGUCUGGGAGAGCACAGGCUUUUCCUUCUCUCUCUCGCGAAUCCUCCAUGAGCACGCUAGCAAGGAAAAAGACACGGCGAUUCACUGAAACGAGGUCGGGAGUUAGAGACGACGCCAAUUCAUCAUUCCUGCGCCAUCUCGCGCUGCUCCGCCUUUCUUUUCUGAGAUCGGUCAGGUUUUUUUUGUUUCCCUUUGUAUCUUCCUUUUGAUGCAUUGCAACGGAUCCGGUAAUCGAUGGCGAGCCAACCCCGUUGAUGGACCAAUUGACUUUGUUCUGUGCUGCACAGCAGAGUGUGGUAGGCCAGUUGCAACAAAACAAAAACACACCACGCCACUUUGAACUUGCUGUUCCCUUUCUUCACACACAUCCCCCUGGACUUACGGACGGUUUAUUUUAAGGACUUUUCACGGACUCUACACAUCCCACGAACAGGAAGGGAAGUGGGUGUGGGCGGUUGGAUCCAUGUUUCCAGCUUAAUGGUUGUUGUACUUUAUUAACAAAGUCUAUGAAGAUACAACCAAGUGUUGUUAUUUGGAUUUUGCUAAGUGAUAUUGUGGUUCAUUUUGGAAGUGAACUUUGUACAUUUAGAAGGGUGCACCCAGGUAAGGUU